AUUACCAAAAUAUAAAAAUUGUGUAAAGCAUGACAUGAAGAUCAAACGAGGGAGUUAAUUAUGCACUUUUACCAUGAUUUAUUGAUUUAUUUGUCUCUCUAUGACAUGUGACCAGUUCCCAAUAGGUGGGUUAGCUGACAACGUCACCAAAACAAUGCGCACACCUUAUUGGGGCAGAAGACUAUGAGUUGUUGUGAUUCUAGAUGGCCAGAUUGCUAGCAACAAUGACAAACAACUGCCAUGUGGGGAAUUGAGUCUCUAGGGGUCCAUGGGUCUUCGGUGGGGCCUUACUGCAGGACUGCUGAAAUGCUGACUUGCAGGCCCUGGGUCCACGGGGGAGCGCCGGCCCGGCUCCUGUUACCGGUCUCCCUCUCCUCCCCUGACGAUCCUUCCACACCUUGCUCCUCGGUGAGACCGGAACCUUCCGCUGCGGCUCGCGGGGUGGGCUCCACUUGACUCAUGUGGUGUUAUAAGAGGGGUCGUGACCCAGUCGUAUGACUGCUUCCUGUUGCUGUUGAAGAGGUUUUCCGAGGCCUGGGGUGAUCACAGGAGAUACUACAUCCGGUGGUUGAGGGCCUGUCACAGUAAAAUACAUACAUCAGUUGAACAGUAGCUGUUCUGGGAUGAAGGGAGAGAAGGAAACAGAGAAAGUGGUGUUAUUUAUUGCUAUGAGGGCCAGAGGGAGAUGGUGAAAGAGAUUAGUUCACUUCAUAUAGACAAGAAUGAAUACAUUUUUUAAAAACACUUUCGUGAACUAACACUCACACUUGACUCCCCCCCUUACUAGCUCUGACUUUGCUAAUAGCUACUUUAUUGAGGAAAAUUUACUUACUAUUAAUGUGAUAUGUCCCACCUAUCUAUCUUAAGAUGAAUGCACUAACUGUAAGUCGCUCUGGAUAACAGCGUCUGCUCAAUGUAAAUAUAAAUGUAAUGAGAUGGAAAAGAGAACUGGUGGUCAUUUGGGGGUUCUGGAUGAAUGCCAGGAGGACUCUGAUGCUUUUAAAGUUCUGAUUAAGCUGUUCUCACAGACUGUUACCUGGAGAACUAGUUCCAUGAUCACAGAUGUGAACAAUAGUUCAUAUGGGGUAGCCCGUCUAUCAGUCUGGACUUCAUCUCAUCAUCUUGCAGGUC